rnacentral:rRNA from 1 species
UGGGGAAUAUUGCACAAUGGGCGCAAGCCUGAUGCAGCCAUGCCGCGUGUAUGAAGAAGGCCUUCGGGUUGUAAAGUACUUUCAGUCGGGAGGAAGGUGGUAAGGUUAAUAACCUUAUCAAUUGACGUUACCGACAGAAGAAGCACCGGCUAACUCCGUGCCAGCAGCCGCGGUAAUACGGAGGGUGCAAGCGUUAAUCGGAAUUACUGGGCGUAAAGCGCACGCAGGCGGUUGAUUGAGUCAGAUGUGAAAUCCCCGGGCUUAACCCGGGAAUUGCAUCUGAUACUGGUCAGCUAGAGUCUUGUAGAGGGGGGUAGAAUUCCAUGUGUAGCGGUGAAAUGCGUAGAGAUGUGGAGGAAUACCGGUGGCGAAGGCGGCCACCUGGACAAAGACUGACGCUCAGGUGCGAAAGCGGGGGGAGCAAACAGG